rnacentral:rRNA from 1 species
UACAGAGGUCCCAAGCGUUGUUCGGAUUCACUGGGCGUAAAGGGUGCGUAGGCGGUCGGGUAAGUCUGACGUGAAAUCUUCAAGCUCAACUUGGAAACUGCGUCGGAUACUAUUCGGCUAGAGGAAUGGAGGGGAGACUGGAAUACUUGGUGUAGCAGUGAAAUGCGUAGAUAUCAAGUGGAACACCAGUGGCGAAGGCGAGUCUCUGGACAUUUCCUUACGCUGAGGCACGAAAGCCAGGGGAGCAAACGGG